AGCUGUGAACCGCGAGGAAACGUCUCCCCUUGCGGAUCCGGACCAAUAAAAACCAAAGGAG
rnacentral:ncRNA from 1 species